GAAUAUUUCAAUAAUCUAAUCUUCUAGAUAAUCUCCUCUCCACACAAAUCACAUUGGUCAUGCAAAUCUUCAUUCAAUCUUCUAGAAUAUCCUCCGUGCAAAUCUCCUCCAAAUCUUCUAAAACAAACAAUAAACACCUAAUU